UACGGAGGGGGCUAGCGUUGUUCGGAAUUACUGGGCGUAAAGCGCGCGUAGGCGGCUUUGUAAGUUAGAGGUGAAAGCCCAGGGCUUAACCCUGGAAUUGCCUUUAAGACUGCAUCGCUAGAAUCGUGGAGAGGUGAGUGGAAUUCCGAGUGUAGAGGUGAAAUUCGUAGAUAUUCGGAAGAACACCAGUGGCGAAGGCGACUCACUGGACCGGUAUUGACGCUGAGGUGGCGAAAGCGUGGGGAGCAAACAGG
rnacentral:rRNA from 1 species